UCCAAAUUGAUAAGAACACUACAUAUAUAUAAGACUCUUAAUGGGCCUAGAGGAUAAAGCCCAACUAAACAAAACCCAAUAGCAUAGAUGAUCAACUUAUAAUAUAAAUACUAUGUCUCAUUGAUAUCUAAAUUAUUUGACUAACUACCACUUAUAAUUAUUUAACUAAUUACUCCCUAAUCUUCUAUCAUUGCCGCCGGGUUCACUUGAACCUUGUCCUCAAGAAGGUUCAGCGGCUAGUCUGGAGGAAUUAAAUUGGAGUGUGACUCGGGAUAUAUAAUUUUUUGUCAAAAAAAGUUUUGCCCAUAAAAACAUUGGGCUAGCUAAUGCUUUGCGGCCCAUAGUUGUUUUGGUGGAAACCAAUUGUUGCGUGUCACUUGAAUUUUGCCUUGCAAUUUUGUGAAUAAAGCUGGAAACCAAUUGUUGCAUGUGCCAACACGUGGAGUGCUUGUAGGAGUGUCACCAUCAUUAUGGGGUGGAUUUGAAAUCACCAGCUGGUGAGUUGAAUUACCACUACGCAGUAGAAACAAAAACACAUUACGUGUUGUUGUUGUAGUGUAUGGUAGGCUUGACACAUGGCACACUACUAGAGGCGAGAUCACAAACAAAGAGAUUGUGCUUUCCAUGGACGUCCAUGAUUCAUCUGUUGAAGAAAUAUUCCAAUCAGACGGUGAAAAACAAUUGCGGUUGUGACGAUGAAAUACGUGCUCUUGCAAAAUGGAAUACGAUGAUGGUGGUAGAAACUCAGUCAGUGAAUCUUCAUAUUUCGGCUUCGGCGGUGGCCGCGAAAGUGGGUUUGUGAACGGCGUCUCUGACGAAAGCGGUGGAGCCUGAGUUGGAAGUGGAGUCUGAA
rnacentral:lncRNA from 1 species